rnacentral:lncRNA from 1 species
GGACAACCAUUCUACUAAAAGCAAUUUGUGUUCUUUGUUCUCUGUUUUACAGAUGGCUAGGUGCCAUGGAAGCAAUCAUUCUACUGAAAGCCAAUUUUACAUUUUCUUCUCUGCUGUACAAAUGUUCCUUUUCUUUCAUGUAAAAAAUAAUAUUCUAAGCUGAAGGUGAAUGAAUGUAAUCCCCAGAAACUGGUAUCUUCAUUGUAAAGGUGUAUGAAUUUAUACUUUUCAAAUG